rnacentral:rRNA from 1 species
CAGUCGCCGCGGGAAUACGUAGGUCCCGAGCGUUGUCCGGAUUUAUUGGGCGUAAAGCGAGCGCAGGCGGUUAGAUAAGUCUGAAGUUAAAGGCUGUGGCUUAACCAUAGUACGCUUUGGAAACUGUUUAACUUGAGUGCAAGAGGGGAGAGUGGAAUUCCAUGCGUAGCGGUGAAAUGCGUAGAUAUAUGGAGGAACACCGGUGGCGAAAGCGGCUCUCUGGCUUGUAACUGACGCUGAGGCUCGAAAGCGUGGGGAGCAAACAGGAUUAGAUACCCCCGUAGUCCCUGUCUCUUAUACA